ACUACGGGUGGCAGCAGUGGGGGAUAUUGCACAAUGGGCGAAAGCCUGAUGCAGCGACGCCGCGUGAGGGAAGACGGUCUGCGGAGUGUAAACCUCUGUCUUUGGGGAAGAAAAUGACGGUACCCAAAGAGGAAGCUCCGGCUAACUACGUGCCAGCAGCCGCGGUAAUACGUAGGGAGCAAGCGUUGUCCGGAAUUACUGGGUGUAAAGGGAGCGGAGGCGGGCUGGCAAGUAGAAUGUUAAAUCCAUCGGCUCAACCGGUGGCUGCGUUCUAAACUGCCGUUCUUGAGUGCAGUAGAGGCCGGCGGACUUCCUCUUGUAGCGGUGCACUGCGUAGUUAUUAGGAGG
rnacentral:rRNA from 1 species